AUUAACACAAACUUGUGAGAUUAUUGAGAAAUUCUCCCUGUCUUCCUGCUCGACAGACACUUCACAAUUCAAGCAGCCAUAACAGUAAUUUUUGGCAACCUCGUCUUCUCAUCGUUUGAACCCAAGAUUUUUAUAGAAACGGUUGUUAGUUCCGUUUCUAGAUGCCCUCGUGGAGCGUGAAUCCCUGUUACGCAGGUUGGGUUUCCUUUCUUUCAUUUCAUUUAUACCAAUCUUUGAGGUGCG
rnacentral:lncRNA from 1 species